CAAUGUUCCCAAAGGAUAUUUAUGAAGUAACUAAGGGAGAAACAAAUAUAAGAAAAACAGAAAAGCAUGGGAAUAACUGGAGAUGAAGAAACAAUUAUGGAAAGGUCAACAAUUUUCCAGAUGUGGAUUGAAGACCCUAUAACAUCUCUGACACUCUUUAAAGAGGAACACAAUGUGAGAUGGAAGAAAAGGAUUCCAGUAGAUGAGAAGACUAAGGCUGAGACGAUAUUUCAUCUAUAAGUUCCUUUCUAUCUACUGACUUGUGUGUGUAGAAGAUACUUCAGCUGAGAAACUUGAUGAGGCAUGCAAAAACACCAGAACCCCAUUAAACAGGGAUAUAUGGAAGCUAAAUCUUCUUGUUUCUUUUGGACAGACUUUAUUUUUUUAAUUAAGUAGAUUUUACUUAUCUUUUGCAUUAUGUUAAUUUCUAAAUAAUCCUCCAGUCCCAGCCACAUUGUCACAAAGAAUAAAAACAAAGGGAAAAAAUCA
rnacentral:lncRNA from 1 species